AGCAGCCGCGGUAAUUCCAGCUCCAAUAGCGUAUAUUAAAGUUGUUGCAGUUAAAAAGCUCGUAGUUGAAUUUCGGGGUUAGUAGGUUGGUCAUGCCUCUGGUAUGUACUGGUCUCACUGAUUCCUCCUUCCUGAUGAACCGUAAUGCCAUUAAUUUGGUGUUGCGGGGAAUUUGGACUGUUACUUUGAAAAAAUUAGAGUGUUUAAAGCAAGCUAACGCUUGAAUACAUUAGCAUGGAAUAAUGAAAUAGGACGUUCGAUCUUAUUUUGUUGGUUUCUAGGAUUGACGUAAUGAUUAAUAGGGAUAGUUGGGGGCAUUAGUAUUCAAUUGUCAGAGGUGAAAUUCUUGGAUUUAUUGAAGACUAACUACUGCGAAAGCAUUUGCCAAGGAUGUUUUCAUUAAUCAAGAACGAAAGUUAGAGGUUCGAAGGCGACCAGAUACCGCCCUAGUUCUAACCAUAAACGAUGCCAACCAGCGAUCCGUCAUUGUUCAUUCAAUGACUUGACGGGCAGCUUCCGG
rnacentral:sRNA from 1 species